rnacentral:rRNA from 1 species
CGCCGCGUGAGUGAUGAAGGCCUUCGGGUUGUAAAGCUCUGUUCUCAGGGAAUAAAAAAAUGAAGGUACCUGAGGAGAAAGGACCGGCUAACUUCGUGC